rnacentral:lncRNA from 1 species
AUUCAUUUUAUACAAGUAUUUCUUAGAUUUGAGAUAACUUUGCUUGACAAUUAGGAUCUCUUUACAAAGAAAAAAUAUGAAUAGCAAUCAUAGAUAUCUUACCAAUCCAAUUGGGUUUUUUCUAAACUGAGCCCGGAUACUUCAUUUUUUUAGUCCAACCAAGCCAACCAUAAAUUAUUCUAAUUGAAUUUUUCUAAUUGAUAAUAGUAAUAUGAAUCCCCACAAAAAUGGAUCUAAUUGCACUUAACGCUCCAAAUUUUUGAUGAUUAAACUUAUCUUUCUUGGGCGAAACGGGGGAUAUCUCGAUCGGGGGAGAGAACGGGGAAAUACCAUAUGACCCAAUAUAUCUGACAAGUCGCACUAUACGUCAACG